rnacentral:rRNA from 1 species
GGACGGAACGGGUGAGUAACACGUGGGUAACCUGCCCAUAAGAGGGGGAUAACAUCCGGAAACGGGUGCUAAUACCGCAUAGUUUUCUUGAUCGCAUGAUCGGAAAGGAAAGACGGCCUUUGUGCUGUCGCUUAUGGAUGGACCCGCGGCGUAUUAGUUAGUUGGUGAGGUAACGGCUCACCAAGACGAUGAUACGUAGCCGACCUGAGAGGGUGAUCGGCCACAUUGGGACUGAGACACGGCCCAAACUCCUACGGGAGGCAGCAGUAGGGAAUCUUCCGCAAUGGACGAAAGUCUGACGGAGCAACGCCGCGUGAGUGAAGAAAGGUUUUCGGAUCGUAAAACUCUGUUGUCAGAGAAGAACAAGUUGGAGAGUAACUGCUCCAGCCUUGACGGUAUCUGACCAGAAAGCCACGGCUAACUACGUGCCAGCCGCCGC